GUGGGGAAUCUUCCGCAAUGGACGAAAGUCUGACGGAGCAACGCCGCGUGAGUGAUGACGGCCUUCGGGUUGUAAAACUCUGUUAUACGGGACGAAUGGACGAGAGGCCAAUACCCUUUCGGAGUGACGGUACCGUAAGAGAAAGCCACGGCUAACUACGUGCCAGCAGCCGCGGUAAUACGUAGGUGGCAAGCGUUGUCCGGAAUUAUUGGGCGUAAAGGGCGCGCAGGUGGUUUCUUAAGUCUGUCUUAAAAGUGCGGGGCUUAACCCCGUGAGGGGACGGAAACUGGGAGACUAGAGUAUCGGAGAGGAAAGCGGAAUUCCUAGUGUAGCGGUGAAAUGCGUAGAUAUUAGGAGGAACACCAGUGGCGAAAGCGGCUUUCUGGACGACAACUGACACUGAGGCGCGAAAGCCAGGGGAGCAAACGGGAUUAGAAACCCUGGUAGUCC
rnacentral:rRNA from 1 species